UGGGGAAUAUUGCACAAUGGGCGCAAGCCUGAUGCAGCCAUGCCGCGUGUGUGAAGAAGGCCUUCGGGUUGUAAAGCACUUUCAGCGAGGAGGAAGGUGGUGAGCUUAAUACGCUCAUCAAUUGACGUUACUCGCAGAAGAAGCACCGGCUAACUCCGUGCCAGCAGCCGCGGUAAUACGGAGGGUGCAAGCGUUAAUCGGAAUUACUGGGCGUAAAGCGCACGCAGGCGGUUUGUUAAGUCAGAUGUGAAAUCCCCGGGCUCAACCUGGGAACUGCAUUUGAAACUGGCAAGCUAGAGUCUCGUAGAGGGGGGUAGAAUUCCAGGUGUAGCGGUGAAAUGCGUAGAGAUCUGGAGGAAUACCGGUGGCGAAGGCGGCCCCCUGGACGAAGACUGACGCUCAGGUGCGAAAGCGUGGGGCAGCAAACAGGAUUAGAUACCCUGGUAGUCCAGCGCUGUAAAACGAUGUCGAUUUUGGAGGUUGUGCCCUUGAGGCGUGGCUUCCGGAGCUAACGCGUUAAAUCGACCGCCUGGGGAGU
rnacentral:rRNA from 1 species